UAAGUAUUCCUAACUACUGAGCCAUCUC
rnacentral:piRNA from 1 species